rnacentral:rRNA from 1 species
UACGGGGGGGGCAAGCGUUGUUCGGAAUUACUGGGCGUAAAGGGCCAGUAGGCGGCCAACUAAGUCCGACGUGAAAUCCCAAGGCUUAACCUUGGAACUGCGUCGGAUACUGGAUGGCUUGAAUUCGGGAGAGGGAUGCAGAAUUCCUGGUGUAGCGGUGAAAUGCGCAGAUAUCAGGAGGAACACCAAUUGCGAAGGCAGCUCGCUGGGACGUUACUGACGCUGAGACGCGAAAGCGUGGGGAGCAAACAGG